AUUGAACGCUGGCGGCAGGCCUAACACAUGCAAGUCGAGCGAGCGGCGGACGGGUGAGUAAUGUAUGGGGAACUGCCCGAUAGAGGGGGAUAACUACUGGAAACGGUGGCUAAUACCGCAUACUAUCGGAUGAACCCAUAUGGGAUUAGCUAGUAGGUGGGGUAAUGGCUCACCUAGGCGACGAUCUCUAGCUGGUCUGAGAGGAUGACCAGCCACACUGGGACUGAGACAAGGUCCAGACUCCGACGGGAGGCAGCAGUGGGGAAGAUUGCACAAUGGGCGCAAGCUGGAUGCAGCCAUGCCGCGUGUAUGAAGAAGGCCUUCGGGUUGUAAAGUACUUUCAGCGGGGAGGCGUUACCCGCAGAAGAAGCACCGGCUAACUCCGUGCCAGCAGCCGCGGUAAUUC
rnacentral:rRNA from 1 species